CUACGGGAGGCAGCAGUGGGGAAUAUUGGACAAUGGGGGAAACCCUGAUCCAGCAAUGCCGCGUGUGUGAAGAAGGCCUGCGGGUUGUAAAGCACUUUCGGUUGGGAGUACUGCUUCUAGCACUAAUAUUGUUGGAAGUUGACGUUACCUUCAGAAGAAGCACCGGCUAACUCCGUGCCAGCAGCCGCGGUAAUACGGGAGGGUGCAAGCGUUAAUCGGAAUUACUGGGCGUAAAGCGCGCGUAGGCGGCUAGAUAAGUCGGGUGUGAAAGCCCCGGGCUUAACCUGGGAACUGCAUCCGAUACUGUCUAGCUUGAGUACAGGAGAGGAGAGUGGAAUUCCACAUGUAGCGGUGAAAUGCGUAGAUAUGUGGAGGAACACCAAUGGCGAAGGCAGCUCUCUGGCCUGAUACUGACGCUGAGGUGCGAAAGCGUGGGGAGCAAACAGGAUUAGAUACCCCGGUAGUC
rnacentral:rRNA from 1 species